rnacentral:rRNA from 1 species
UACGUAGGGGGCAAGCGUUAUCCGGAUUUACUGGGUGUAAAGGGGGCGCAGACGGCGAUGCAAGCCAGGAGUGAAAGCCCGGGGCCCAACCCCGGGACUGCUCUUGGAACUGCGUGGCUGGAGUGCAGGAGGGGCAGGCGGAAUUCCUGGUGUAGCGGUGAAAUGCGUAGAUAUCAGGAGGAACACCGGUGGCGAAGGCAGCGUACCGGCGCCACACUGACGCUGAGGCACGAAAGCGUGGGGAUCGAACAGG